UUAAGCGACUAAGCGUACACGGUGGAUGCCCUGGCAGUCAGAGGCGAUGAAGGACGUGCUAAUCUGCGAAAAGCGUCGGUAAGGUGAUAUGAACCGUUACAGCCGGCGAUGUCCGAAUGGGGAAACCCAGUGUGAUUCGUCACACUAUCGUUAACUGAAUACAUAGGUUAACGAGGCGAACCGGGGGAACUGAAACAUCUAAGUACCCCGAGGAAAAGAAAUCAACCGAGAUUCCCCCAGUAGCGGCGAGCGAACGGGGAGCAGCCCAGAGUCUGAAUCAGCUUGUGUGUUAGUGGAACGGUCUGGAAAGUCCGACGGUACAGGGUGAUAGUCCCGUACACCAAAAUGCACAGGCUGUGAACUCGAAGAGUAGGGCGGGACACGUGGUAUCCUGUCUGAAUAUGGGGGGACCAUCCUCCAAGGCUAAAUACUCCUGACUGACCGAUAGUGAACCAGUACCGUGAGGGAAAGGCGAAAAGAACCCCGGCGAGGGGAGUGAAAAAGAACCUGAAACCGUGUACGUACAAGCAGUGGGAGCACCUUCGGGUGUGACUGCGUACCUUUUGUAUAAUGGGUCAGCGACUUAUAUUCUGUAGCAAGGUUAACCGUAUAGGGGAGCCGCAGGGAAACCGAGUCUUAACUGGGCGUUAAGUUGCAGGGUAUAGACCCGAAACCCGGUGAUCUAGCCAUGGGCAGGUUGAAGGUUGGGUAACACUAACUGGAGGACCGAACCGACUAAUGUUGAAAAAUUAGCGGAUGACUUGUGGCUGGGGGUGAAAGGCCAAUCAAACCGGGAGAUAGCUGGUUCUCCCCGAAAGCUAUUUAGGUAGCGCCUCGUGAAUUCAUCUUCGGGGGUAGAGCACUGUUUCGGCUAGGGGGUCAUCCCGACUUACCAACCCGAUGCAAACUACGAAUACCGAAGAAUGUUAUCACGGGAGACACACGGCGGGUGCUAACGUCCGUCGUGAAGAGGGAAACAACCCAGACCGCCAGCUAAGGUCCCAAAGUCACAGUUAAGUGGGAAACGAUGUGGGAAGGCACAGACAGCCAGGAUGUUGGCUUAGAAGCAGCCAUCAUUUAAAGAAAGCGUAAUAGCUCACUGGUCGAGUCGGCCUGCGCGGAAGAUGUAACGGGGCUAAACUGUGCACCGAAGCUGCGGCAGCGACACUUAGGUGUUGUUGGGUAGGGGAGCGUUCUGUAAGCCUGCGAAGGUGGCCUGUGAGGGUUGCUGGAGGUAUCAGAAGUGCGAAUGCUGACAUAAGUAACGAUAAUGCGGGUGAAAAGCCCGCACGCCGGAAGACCAAGGGUUCCUGUCCAACGUUAAUCGGGGCAGGGUGAGUCGACCCCUAAGGCGAGGCCGAAAGGCGUAGUCGAUGGGAAACAGGUUAAUAUUCCUGUACUUGGUGUUACUGCGAAGGGGGGACGGAGAAGGCUAUGUUAGCCGGGCGACGGUUGUCCCGGUUUAAGCAUGUAGGCGGAGGUUCCAGGUAAAUCCGGUACCUUUUUAACGCUGAGGUGUGAUGACGAGGCACUACGGUGCUGAAGUAACAAAUGCCCUGCUUCCAGGAAAAGCCUCUAAGCAUCAGGUAACAUUAAAUCGUACCCCAAACCGACACAGGUGGUCAGGUAGAGAAUACCAAGGCGCUUGAGAGAACUCGGGUGAAGGAACUAGGCAAAAUGGUGCCGUAACUUCGGGAGAAGGCACGCUGAUAUGUAGGUGAAGCCCCUGCGGGUGGAGCUGAAAUCAGUCGAAGAUACCAGCUGGCUGCAACUGUUUAUUAAAAACACAGCACUGUGCAAACACGAAAGUGGACGUAUACGGUGUGACGCCUGCCCGGUGCCGGAAGGUUAAUUGAUGGGGUUAUCCGUAAGGAGAAGCUCUUGAUCGAAGCCCCGGUAAACGGCGGCCGUAACUAUAACGGUCCUAAGGUAGCGAAAUUCCUUGUCGGGUAAGUUCCGACCUGCACGAAUGGCGUAAUGAUGGCCAGGCUGUCUCCACCCGAGACUCAGUGAAAUUGAACUCGCUGUGAAGAUGCAGUGUACCCGCGGCAAGACGGAAAGACCCCGUGAACCUUUACUAUAGCUUGACACUGAACAUUGAGCCUUGAUGUGUAGGAUAGGUGGGAGGCUUUGAAGCGUGGACGCCAGUCUGCGUGGAGCCAACCUUGAAAUACCACCCUUUAAUGUUUGAUGUUCUAACGUUGGCCCCUAAUCGGGGUUGCGGACAGUGUCUGGUGGGUAGUUUGACUGGGGCGGUCUCCUCCCAAAGAGUAACGGAGGAGCACGAAGGUUAGCUAAUCCUGGUCGGACAUCAGGAGGUUAGUGCAAUGGCAUAAGCUAGCUUGACUGCGAGCGUGACGGCGCGAGCAGGUGCGAAAGCAGGUCAUAGUGAUCCGGUGGUUCUGAAUGGAAGGGCCAUCGCUCAACGGAUAAAAGGUACUCCGGGGAUAACAGGCUGAUACCGCCCAAGAGUUCAUAUCGACGGCGGUGUUUGGCACCUCGAUGUCGGCUCAUCACAUCCUGGGGCUGAAGUAGGUCCCAAGGGUAUGGCUGUUCGCCAUUUAAAGUGGUACGCGAGCUGGGUUUAGAACGUCGUGAGACAGUUCGGUCCCUAUCUGCCGUGGGCGCUGGAGAAUUGAGGGGGGCUGCUCCUAGUACGAGAGGACCGGAGUGGACGCAUCACUGGUGUUCGGGUUGUCAUGCCAAUGGCAUUGCCCGGUAGCUAAAUGCGGAAGAGAUAAGUGCUGAAAGCAUCUAAGCACGAAACUUGCCCCGAGAUGAGUUCUCCCUGAGACUUUAAGUCUCCUGAAGGAACGUUAAAGACGAUGACGUUGAUAGGUCGGGUGUGUAAGCGUAGCGAUACGUUGAGCUAACCGAUACUAAUGAACCGUGAGGCUUAACCUU
rnacentral:rRNA from 1 species